GAUACUUGAAUUAAAAGUGCAAUCUAAAUCACUAAGAAACUUAAUCCUUGUAGUACAAUUACUUGUAAUUUUGCUUAGCUGUCAAAGUUAACGUUGAUACAUGCAGCUACAAGUACUUUAUUGCACAUGAGCCCAUUAUUGUCCUUUGUUCUAACCUCAGUCCUCCUGUUAACCACCAAUACUCUGCUAACCUGACAAGUGGCAAUUAGUUGGACUAUUUUUCACUUACCAUGGUCUCGCCCACUCUGCUCCAACACAGAACAUAAGAAAGGUUACAAAUGAAAGGAGGUUGUUCAGCUCAUUUAUCUCAUUCCAUUGCUAGAAGAUAAUUGAUCUGAGAUAAUGCAUCUGGUUGUUUAAUUAGAGAACCCUGGCUCAAUAAUAUGGCUGUGUAACUUCAAAACUCUGACAGCUUUUGUGUGUUCUCUGUUUGAAGAGCAUUUCCCCAUACUUUUCAUUGGUGUUCCUUUUUCUUUCACUGUUGCAUCUUAAAAACUUAAUUGAGUUGAUUUUAUCAGUGUGUUUGAGGUCCACUCAUAGUCUUCGAUUGAGCAAAGGUUUUGGCCUUUCAGACAAAGCCAAGGUGGAAGAAGAGAUGUUUCAAGAUCAUAAUAAGAGAAGACGUCCGGAUGAAAUUUAGAAAUUAUUACCCUUGUGUAACAUUUAUACAAGGAAGACAUCAUGGCAUUUCUAAUUAGCUUUGUGCAGGUACUUGUACUGGCAACAGUUCUCUUCCAAGAAAUGACAUCACUUCCAGUUCC